rnacentral:sRNA from 2 species
AGAGCCACGGGAUCGACGCUGCGGGUCACCACCAGGUAGUCGCGCAUGGCGAUGCCGUGGCGGUUCUC